UGCCCCGCCCACAGCCUUGUCCCUGCCCACUCUGGAGCCCCAAACCCACGGAGUUCUCGGGGGCUUCCGGUGCCCACCGAGAGUGCCCGCACCUGCCUGGCCCACUCAGGACUUCAACCCUUGACCCAAGGGCACCCGGCGCCGCCCAGUGUCCAGCAGUUGUUAGCUGCUGGUUUCCACGUGUAUUAGGCGUGCCUCACCUCCACCUGGUGUUACUCCAGUUUUCGGACGGGUCUCAAGUCCUAUUUCUGGGACAAGCCUGCAGAUGAAGCGACCCUGGUGUGACUGGUGAUCAGUGACCUCCCCUUUGGAAAGCUGCCCUUCUCUAGUAGGAACUGUUAAACCGUAGGAGAUUACAUGUUCCGAUGGAAGAUGGGGUAUAAAGGGCCAAAUCUUACCACUCUUGAUUCAGAAAUAACCCGGGGCUCAUGCAAUCAGACGGAAACGGAGUCCACGCACCUGCCUCGUCCUGCUUGGUGCACACUCAUACUUCCUGAGGACCUUUCUUCUAGGACCAGGGUGGACCGUAAGAUUGAUACAUAGCCCAGCUGUCAUCGGAGGUAUCAUCCAGCAACUGAUGGGAGCAGAUGCAGUGACCCACAGCCAAACAAAGGACUGUAGGCGCCAGAGGGUUGAGGACACCAUGAGAACACGGCCCACACAAUCAACUAAGCAGGGGACACAGAGACUGAAGUGAAAAUUACAAGACCUGAAUGGGUCUGAGCUAGGUCCCCUGCCCACACCUUCUGGCUGUGUAGCUGGGUGUUCUUCAAGACUCCUACAGUGGGAGUGGGGGUGUCUCUGACUCUUUUGCAUGUUCUUAGAACCUUUCCUCCUACUGGGUUGCCUCGCCCAGCCCUGAAAUGAGGGUUUGUGCCUAGUCUUAUUGUUACUUGUUCUACCAUGUUCAGUUGAUAUCCCUGGGAGGCCUGGUCUGUUUUUGAAGGGAAACAGAGGAGGAGUGGAUCCGGGAGAGAGGCAAGUAGGUGGAGGGGCUGGGAGGAAUGAAGAGAGGGGAACCUGUGGUUGGGAAGUAAUGUAUUAGAGAAGAAAAAAACAUAAUAAUAAAAUAUUAAAAAAUU